UACGCAGGGUGCGAGCGUUAGUCGGAAUUACUGGGCGUAAAGCGUGCGCAGGCGGUGCGCCAAGCUCGAUGUGAAAGCCCCGGGCUUAACCUGGGAAUUGCAUUGAGGACUGGCGUGCUCGAGUGCGGCAGAGGGGGGUGGAAUUCCACGUGUAGCAGUGAAAUGCGUAGAGAUGUGGAGGAACACCGAUGGCGAAGGCAGCCCCCUGGGCCGACACUGACGCUCAUGCACGAAAGCGUGGGGAGCAAACAGG
rnacentral:rRNA from 1 species